rnacentral:rRNA from 1 species
CCUACUGGGGGCAGCAGUGGGGAAUAUUGGACAAUGGGCGAAAGCCUGAUCCAGCCAUGCCGCGUGUGUGAAGAAGGCCUUCGGGUUGUAAAGCACUUUCAGUGGGGAAGAAAGCCUUGGGGCUAAUACCCUCGAGGAAGGACAUCACCCACAGAAGAAGCACCGGCUAACUCCGUGCCAGCAGCCGCGGUAAUACGGAGGGUGCGAGCGUUAAUCGGAAUUACUGGGCGUAAAGCGCGCGUAGGCGGUCUGAUAAGCCGGUUGUGAAAGCCCCGGGCUCAACCUGGGAACGGCAUCCGGAACUGUCAGGCUAGAGUGCAGGAGAGGAAGGUAGAAUUCCCGGUGUAGCGGUGAAAUGCGUAGAGAUCGGGAGGAAUACCAGUGGCGAAGGCGGCCUUCUGGACUGACACUGACGCUGAGGUGCGAAAGCGUGGGUAGCAAACAGGAUUAGAUACCCGAGUAGUC